rnacentral:rRNA from 1 species
GUGGGGAAUCUUGCGCAAUGGGCGAAAGCCUGACGCAGCCAUGCCGCGUGAAUGAUGAAGGUCUUAGGAUUGUAAAAUUCUUUCACCGGGGACGAUAAUGACGGUACCCGGAGAAGAAGCUCCGGCUAACUUCGUGCCAGCAGCCGCGGUAAUACGAAGUGGGCUAGCGUUGCUCGGAAUUACUGGGCGUAAAGGGCGCGUAGGCGGACAGCUUAGUCAGAGGUGAAAGCCCAGGGCUCAACCUUGGAAUUGCCUUUGAUACUGGCUGUCUUGAGUUUGGGAGAGGUGAGUGGAACUCCGAGUGUAGAGGUGAAAUUCGUAGAUAUUCGGAAGAACACCAGUGGCGAAGGCGACUCACUGGCCCAAUACUGACGCUGAGGCGCGAAAGCGUGGGGAGCAAACAGGAUUAGAAACCCUAGUAGUCC